CUCCCACUUCCCACGUAGUAUCGCACUCUCCCGGAAAGUACUUAGCACGGAAAAAGUCACCGAGAGCCGCUUAAUCCUGUUAGGGAAAAGCCGAUCCCCGACCCGAGCCAGCCGUAGCGCGCCCCAGAAGAGCUGUGGCGAACUUCCCCCUGCUUUACUGGUGUGGUCACAUCAUCACUCACAGCUGAAACAUCCAAGAUUAGCAGAAGGCAGAGCAGCCUCAUUUCCAGGCCAGAACACAGCGUCACUCUGCAAGUGCUACCAAUGCUGUUCCUGAAUCCCGAAAGGGAACUGCACUUCAGGCUGGCAUUCCACAGGUGCAGAUUACGUUUGUGCGGAAUGCCUCAUACAGAAAUUAAGAUAAAGAAGGCAAACAGUGUUCUUCAUGAAGGUGCUGGACUUUGGAAGGAGCCACCGAAAGUGCGUAUUCUAUUGACAGCAAAUACGAAACUGCAUUCAGAUGUUGCAUUGAAAAAAAACCUGCUUGUAGCUACAGUUAAUAAUUAACAUGCAUGUGCAUACAAUAGUCUUCAAGUGACUGUUGCAGUCUAAAAGCCCCAAACAGCAAAACUCAGGAAAAAAACUGGACUGAUUGAGAAACAUUUCUGUCAGAUAUAGACAGGUUCAGCAAUUGGUAUGUAAUACAAUAUUGCUUUCAAGCAGAAGUCAAGGCAUGAGGAGUAGCAAUUUAGUUUGACUUGCAGGUAGAUGUCAGAUUAUUUGGUUUUCACUAUGCUGGGUGUCCAUUUCCUUUAUGAAUGAUUAAAAACUUGAGCUGUUAGGUCUCUUUCUGAAGGUGCUGUUGUCAUAGUGGCCUUGCAAUGAUGCUUGGUUAAUGGUUCUAGAAUGCUGAGAAGUAAUACUAUUGUCGUAUCUGAUAUAUUCCUAUUUUUUUUAGUAGAACGGUAGAGAACACUGAUGGCUAGCAGAAGAGCCUACAACUGGAAAACAACAAUGCUUACAAAAUUACUCAUUGUAAUACUGUUAACUUACCAUAAUUACCAUGACAAACAAUUUUAAAAACAAUUCAGCAAAUUGGGGAUGGCAGCAACAUUACACUGCUUGUGUUAAACAUCUACUGUUUCCUUAUCUAAACUUGUUUUUCCUUAACCUGAACUAAAAAAAAAUAAAAGGUUUGUAAUUAAUUGUUCAAAAA